UCCUCUGUAUUUCGAUGCUCCUCACUCUUAGAAGGUUUAUCUCUCUCAGGAGGUUCCUCUUUCUUUGGUGAUUCCUCUGUUUUCAGAGAUUCCUCUGUUUUCAGAGAUUCCUCUGUUUUCAGAGAUUCUUCUGUCUUAGAAGGUUCUGCUGUCUUUGAAAGUUCAUCUUUCUUUGAAAGUUGGCCUGCCUCUGAAUAUUCAUCUUUCUUUGAUGGCUCCUCUUUCUUUGGACGUUCUUCUUUCUUUGUAGGUACCUCUGUAUUUACAUGCUCCUCACUCUUAGAUGGUUUGUCUGUCUUAGGAUGUUCCUCUUUCUUUGGAGAUUCCUCUGUUUUCAGAGAUUUUUCUGUCUUAGAAGGUUCUGCUGUCUUUGAAAGUUGGCUUGCCUCUGAAGAUUCAUCUGUCUUUGAUGGCUCCUCUCUCUUAGGAAGUUCUUCUUUCUUCAGGAGUACCUCUGUAAUUAGAUGCUCCUCACUCUUAGAAGGUUUGUAUGUCUUAGGAGGUUCCUCUUCCUUUGAAGCUUUAUCUGUUUUCAUAGAUUUUUCUGCCUUAGAAGGUUCUAUUGUCUUUGAAAGUUGGCCUGCUUCUGAAGAUUCAUCUGUCUUUGAUGGCUCCUCUCUCUUAAAAAGUUCUUCUUUCUUUGGAGGUACCUCUGUAUUCACAUGCUCCUCACUUUUAGAAGGAUUAUCUGUUUCAGGAAGUUCCUCUUUCUUUGGUAAUGCAUCUGUUUUCAGAGAUUCUUCUGUCUGAGAAAGUUCUCCUCUCUUUGAUAGUUGGUCUGCCUCUGAUUCAUCUGUCUUUGAUGGCUCCUCUCUCUUAAAAAGUUCUUCUUUCUUUGGAGGUACCUCUGUAUUUAGAUGCUCUUCACUUUUAGAAUGUUUUUCUGUCUUAGGAGGUUCCUCUUUAUUUGAAAGUUCAUCUGUUUUCAGAGGUUCUCCUGUCUUAGAAAGUUCAUCUUUCUUUGAGAGUUGGCCUGCCUCUGAAGAUUCAUCUGUCUUUGAUGGCUCCUCUUUCUUAAAAAGUUUUUCUUUCUUUGGAGGUACCUCUGUAUUUAGAUGCUCCACAUUCUUAGAAGGCUUUUCUGUCUUAGAGGGUUCCUCUUUCUUUGGAGGUUCCUCUGUUUUCAGAGAUUUUUCUGUCUUUGAAGGUUCUCUUGUCUUUGAAAGUUCAUCUUUCUUUGAUAGUUGACCUGCCUCUGAUUCAUCUGUCUUUGUUGGCUCCUCUCUCUUAAAAAGUUCUUCUU
rnacentral:lncRNA from 1 species